UUUGAUCCUGCACAAUGCAACUCGGAGGAAUAAAUUUCUGCUGGUGGCUUUCUGAAGUGCAUUCCUUUUUUGCUUUUUUUUUCUUUAUUUACUUUACAUAUGCUUACUGCUCCCCUCCUGGUCACCCCCUCCCACAAUCCAUCCUCCCCCUGCCUUUCCCCUCCCCUUCUUCUCUGAGAGGGUGGAGUCUCCCCAGGUAUCCCCUACCCUGGCACAUCAAGUCUCUGUGGGGCUAAGCACAUGCUUUCCCACUGAGGUCAGACUAGGCAGCCCAGCUAGAAGAACAUAUCCCACAGACAGGCAAUGGCUUUUGGGAUAGCCUGUGCUCCAGUUGUUCUGGAUCCACAUGAAGACUGAACUGCAGAUCUGUGUAGGGUAGUGGUAGGUGUAGGUCCAGCCUGUGUUUGUCCUUUGGUUGAUGGUUCAGACUCUGAGAGUCCCAAAGGUCCAGGUUAGUUGACUCUGUUGGUCUUCCUGUGGAGCUCCUAUCCCCUUCAGGGCCCUCAGUCCUUCCUCCUAUUCUCCAUAAGAGUGCCCACUGUUUGGCUGUGGAUGUCUGCAUCCCUGAGUCAGCUGCUGGGUGGAGCCUCUCAGAGGACAGUCAUGCUAGACUACUGUCUACAAGCAUAACAGAAUAUCAUUAAUAGUGACAGGGAUUGGUGUUUGCUCGUGGGAUAAGUCUCAAGUUGGGCUCAUUAUUGGUUGGCCAUUCCCUUAGUCUCUGCUCCAUCCCCACCCCUGCAUUUCUUGUAGACAGGAUAAAUUGGGGGUUGAAAGUUUUGUGAGUGGGUUGGUAAUCCUUUCUCUCCACUGAGGUUCCUGCCUGGCUACAGGAGGUGGCCUCUCUGAAGUGCACUCUUAUUUAGGUAAAAUGCACGACAUGUAAAGUGAAUGAAAGUGAGGGUGAUAUUAUCUCCAGUCUUCAUGGCCAGGGCUUGGCUUCAGAGUAGAAAUUCUUGGGCUUCCAACUAUGAUACAAUAGAGCUAUCUUCUUUAACCUAUUAAGUUUACAUACCUAGACUAUCACAUUAAAAUUUCCAUACAGGCCUAUGGAACACUAUGAUUCCACUGUACUCAACAAAUAAAAGAAAGAACAAGAUGUGCUCUUCAAAGGAGUAUAGAAAGCUAGAAAAUCUCGUAUCACCAGGAGUGAGCAAAGAGGCCUUGGAUGGGGAAGAAAGUGAGUGGAAAUCAAUUUUACUUGCUUAGGUCUCACAAUGGAUUUUGCAAAGUAAAGGGUAAAAAAUCAAUCUUGUCAAAUCAGUGAGUAUUUAUAUACUUGAAGAAGUCUAAAGGUCUCAGACUGUGUAUUCGGCCAUAGAACAUUCUUGUCCCCUUUCACAUCAUGAAGGGCUACAACAUGAAAGUUGAACUCAUUUCUGUACUGAGAGAACAGUGACAAGGAGUUCUGCCAUGUUCGUCAUCAAGAUGUGUCCAAGGCAGAGGCCAAACCUGGUAUUAACUAUCCUCAGUCUCAUUUUAAACCCCUUGAGGACAUUACACCUAACAGAAGCCUCUGCCGCCUCCUCCUGCAUCUGAUGGUGUGCACUUCGAAGCUGGAUGCUAGACUGGAUGAUAAGACUGAUGUCCUGGGAUGAUAGCACAUACCAUAGUGAGGAGCAAAUGAUUACUCUGACGGUGGCCUCGUGGAAUAAGACAAGAAAUCAGAGUAUAGAAGGUGUGUGCCUUGAGCAAAGAGAUGCUGUGUCACUCUCUAAACUUCCCUUUCCUGGGUAUGGCAGAAAGAUCACAGAUAAGUGCUAAAUAAAGAUCAGGAGAGGCAAAGAACUGUGACUUCUUUCCUGAGAAAGUUAGCUAAGAGGUGGACUUACAGGGAGUUUAGUGGCAGCAAACUAAAUUGCCUACUGUAAGAAAGUUGUCCAACAUCACUUCUGGGUUCCAUAAACUCUACUGAGUCUUUUAAAACAUCUGUCUGGUCCAAUUGCCAUACUUAGACACACAGAUGAGUCGUGAAACCCAACAUAAAUGACAGUGGUGCCCCACCAUGACACUUGACUCCCUAAGCAGCCAUAUCAGUGGCUUUGUUCUUGUGGAGAAGUCCCCAAGAUGAGUUGACUUUUCUGUACUUCAGCUUCUCUGGCUAUACAAUUAAUUUACAUUUUAUAUCGUACAUUUUAUAUCAUAAUGUAUUAUAAUUAUUAUGUGUGGCAAUAUCUGUGAAAGGUCUUUGCUCCAGGUCCAACAUGGGAAUCAUAUAUUAACUGCUAUAUACAUCUUUGAUGAAAUGACAAAAAUAACCAUCAUUAUGUUACUGUAUAUUAGACUUCAGGCAAAUCAACACAAUUUGAUGGCUAUUAGCCAUCAGCAGAUAUGGCCAGCCAGAGGCAUUCUAAAAUGUCUCCAAAGCAUUUGACCUUAAAGUCAGGAUAUUACCCAGAUAACCUUGAUCUAACCAAGUUAUCUAUUUAGAAGCAGACAGUAUAUUCCAGCUGUUCACAGAGCAGAAUGUCGGGGAGAUGUGUUCCUUCUGCUCCUGGCCUGACAGGAAGUAAACCUCUAUGCUGGGACCUUCAAAUACAUGUCAAGGGACUUAGUGGUCCCUGGAGGCUGAGAGCAGCCCUUGACUGACAGCCAGCAGGAAAACAGGAGUCACAGUGUUAAGGCUACAAGGAACUAGUUUCUGACAGUAAGCAUGAGCUC
rnacentral:lncRNA from 1 species